AGCCAUGCCAAUAUAUCUCUACCCCUGUCCAUCUGAGUCAGUGAAGGCUGGAAGGAAGAAGCAGACCAAGGCCUGCUAAAGUUGUGAUACAGAUGGUGUGGAUCUAAUUGAUGGACAUCAUGUGCAGAUGGUAUUGACUGGUGACAGAGGACAACGAUCUUCCCAAACAUCAAUUUCCAGGAUAAAGGACUGCAUUGCAGCUUAGAUCUGCUAUUGAAAAUGUACUGUUUGAAUGUUUGAAAGGAGCACCCAAGACAACAGAGAUCCUGCUUUUUAUGCCACAAUAUCCUUAAAAGAAUGACAUCCACAAUUUCACUGCAUCUCUGGAAGGCAAGGUCAAUGUUUGCAGAGUACUUUCAAACAGACUCUCUUACAAGCCAC